rnacentral:rRNA from 1 species
AGUUUGAUCCUGGCUCAGGAUGAACGCUGGCGGCGUGCCUAAUACAUGCAAGUCGAGCGAACGGACGAGAAGCUUGCUUCUCUGAUGUUAGCGGCGGACGGGUGAGUAACACGUGGAUAACCUACCUAUAAGACUGGGAUAACUUCGGGAAACCGGAGCUAAUACCGGAUAAUAUUUUGAACCGCAUGGUUCAAAAGUGAAAGACGGUCUUGCUGUCACUUAUAGAUGGAUCCGCGCUGCAUUAGCUAGUUGGUAAGGUAACGGCUUACCAAGGCAACGAUGCAUAGCCGACCUGAGAGGGUGAUCGGCCACACUGGAACUGAGACACGGUCCAGACUCCUACGGGAGGCAGCAGUAGGGAAUCUUCCGCAAUGGGCGAAAGCCUGACGGAGCAACGCCGCGUGAGUGAUGAAGGUCUUCGGAUCGUAAAACUCUGUUAUUAGGGAAGAACAUAUGUGUAAGUAACUGUGCACAUCUUGACGGUACCUAAUCAGAAAGCCACGGCUAACUACGUGCCAGCAGCCGCGGUAAUACGUAGGUGGCAAGCGUUAUCCGG